rnacentral:lncRNA from 1 species
GUUGAUCCCAAUCUAUUUAUCAUUUAAACAAUUUUCUACAUGCAUUUUCUAUGUAAAUGCCAAAUUUAAACGAAAAAAAAUGGGAGCAGGCAGUUUACUAAGUGUAACACUUUUGGUACCUAAUUUCUGUUUUUCUGAUUUUUUUUUUGGUUAUAGCAAAUUACGGGGAAAGCUAGGGGGGCCAUUCGCAAAACAAUUGUUAUUGCGAGAAUGUUUAUUUGGACUCUGUAACAAUUAGUUGGAGUGGUUAAUCUGUUCCUUUACAUGAUAAUGUAUACUCAGAUGCAUCUUGUAAUGUGCAAUUGCAAGUUUCCAAAUAAAGUAAAAUUGUUGGCGACAUGGCACAUGUGUUAAAGUCUUCUGUCACAGUUGACUCAGCAUGAAUGAAGACAUUGAUACCAUUUUGCAUUAUGGAAUACACAAGUUGGCAGUUCCUCGUCCACUGCCACCCAAAUACAGGUAGGUAUGCAUGCAUACACAACCCUCAAAAUUAGUAAAACUAAAAUGAAGUUUUUCAUUUUCUGACUUCGUGAUGAAACUUAUUGAAGUACACUCUUUUUGGACAUAGGAGGAGUAUUAUCGCUACAAGCGUGAACAAUAAUAAAACAUUCCAAAGAAUAAUUUGUUAUUUCAACAAUUAGAUAUGUUGUUUAAAUGUAUAAAUGCUUGUUGAAUAUUCUUAUUAUAUCAUCCUAAU